rnacentral:rRNA from 1 species
UGACCUCGGAUCAUGUAGGAAUACCCGCUGAACUUAAGCAUAUCAAUAAGCGGAGGAAAAGAAACCAACAGGGAUUGCCCUAGUAACGGCGAGUGAAGCGGCAACAGCUCAAAUUUGAAAUCUGGCUUUCGGGCCCGAGUUGUAAUUUGUAGAGGAUGAUUUUGAUGCUGUGCCUUCCUAGUUCCCUGGAACGGGACGCCAUAGAGGGUGAGAGCCCCGUCUGGUUGGAUGCCGAAUCUCUGUAAAUCUCCUUCGACGAGUCGAGUAGUUUGGGAAUGCUGCUCUAAAUGGGAGGUAUAUGUCUUCUAAAGCUAAAUACCGGCCAGAGACCGAUAGCGCACAAGUAGAGUGAUCGAAAGAUGAAAAGCACUUUGAAAAGAGAGUUAAAAAGUACGUGAAAUUGUUGAAAGGGAAGCGUUUAUGACCAGACUUGGGCUUGGUUAAUCAUCUGGGGUUCUCUCCAGUGCACUUUUCCAGCCCAGGCCAGCAUCAGUUUUCGCCGGGGGAUAAAGACUUCGGGAAUGUGGCUCCCCUCGGGGAGUGUUAUAGCCCGUUGUGUAAUACCCUGGUGCGGACUGAGGUUCGCGCUUCUGCAAUUGGAA